UCUCUCUGAAUCUGCGAACGGCUCCGCAAACCAGUUGUAAACUAUAGCAAGCAGGCUCGGGGUCGGCUCUCACGGGCUGGCUUCGGGCGAUAUGGAUAACCCUGGUAAUUCUGAGGCUAAUACAUGAACGUAAAACCUGGUUGACUGGGCUUCGGUCUGGGAGGCUGGGGGAUGUGUGAUUGCAGGCUUGGGUAACACCGGGAAAGGGCGCACGUCCAGACCGCGCUAUAAAGGAUGGGACCUCUUCGGGGGACCCGCCCCAGCGGCUCUUGCUGUGUGCUUCUGACCUAUCAACUAGACGGCAGCGUAAGGGACAUGCUAUGGUGACAACGGGUACAGAGGAUUAGGGUUCGAUCCUGGAGAGUGGGCCUGAGAGAUU
rnacentral:rRNA from 1 species